CCUACGGGCGGCAGCAGUGGGGAAUAUUGCACAAUGGGCGAAACCCUGAUGCAGCGACGCCGCGUGAGUGAAGAAGUACUUCGUUAUGGAAAGCUUCAUCAGCAGGGAAGAAAAUGACGGUACCUGAGUAAGAAGCGCCGGCUAAUGACGUGCCAGCAGCCGCGGUAAUACGUAGGGGACCAGCGUUAUCCGGAUUUACUGGGGGUAAAGGGAGCGUAGACGGCAGUGCAGGUCUGGAGUGAAAGGCGGGGGGUCAACCCGCGGACUGCUGUGGAAACUGUAAGGCUGGAGUGCAGGAGAGGUAAGUGGAAUUCGUGGUGUAGCGGUGAAAUGCGUAGAUAUCAGGAAGAACACCAGUGGCGAAGGCAGCUUACUGGACUGUAACUGACGUUGAGGCUCGAAAGCGUGGGGAGCAAACAGGAUUAGAUACCCUUGUAGUC
rnacentral:rRNA from 1 species